UACGAAGGGGGCUAGCGUUGUUCGGAAUUACUGGGCGUAAAGCGCGCGCAGGCGGUCUUCCAAGUCAGUGGUGAAAGCCCCGGAGCUCAACUCCGGAACUGCCAUUGAAACUGUUAGACUUGAGGAUGAGAGAGGUGAGUGGAAUUCCCAGUGUAGAGGUGAAAUUCGUAGAUAUUAGGAAGAACACCGGUGGCGAAGGCGGCCCACUGGAUCGGUACUGACGCUGAGGUGCGAAAGCGUGGGGAGGCAAACA
rnacentral:rRNA from 1 species